GCCUUCGUGGUGUAACUGGGAAGCACGUCCGGCUAGCAAUCGGGAGGUAUGGUGUUCGAAUCCUGGCGAGGGCA
rnacentral:tRNA from 1 species